rnacentral:rRNA from 1 species
UACGUAGGGGGCGAGCGUUGUCCGGAAUCAUUGGGCGUAAAGAGCGCGUAGGCGGCCCGACAAGUCCGCUGUGAAAGUCAGGGGCUCAACCCUUGAAUGCCGGUGGAUACUGUCGGGCUAGAGUCCGGAAGAGGCGAGUGGAAUUCCUGGCGUAGCGGUGAAAUGCGCAGAUAUCAGGAGGAACACCGAUGGCGAAGGCAGCUCGCUGGGACGGUACUGACGCUGAGGCGCGAAAGCGUGGGGAGCAAACAGG